GCUCCGAAGGAGCAGUUUUUCCUUUUAACUAUUUCGAAAGCAUAUGGUUGCAAAAAUUAUAUAAUCUAUUGCUGAUAAGUGUAAAUUACAAAACUUUGAUGGUUAGGAAAGAAAAUAAGUGGAAAACUAACAAAGGGCACAACUGCAAAAUCAUGAACCUUUGAAGACCAGAAAUUUGAUUCUUGGUUGUCCGAACUCCAGACUUUUUUCCCCCCUUUCUUCCCUGUCUCUACAGCUUUCUUUAUUUGGGUUCUACUGUAUGGAGCUCUCACUCUCCCACUGUUCUUUCCUUGGAAUUUCAGCUGUAAAUCCUCAUUGCAAGGCCUCAUCUUGUCACCCCAAGGCAAUACCCAGUAAGCUCAAUGCCAAGCAUUUUGAUUUGUCUUUGAAAUGCUCCAAAUAUGGUGUUUCAGUUGGGCUUUACGAUUAUUCAAGUUGCUCAAAACAUGUUCCAUCUAGGAAAUUCAAGCGUAAUUCAAUCCGGGCUUGCAGUCAAGUUGGUGCUGCUGGGUCUGAUCCAAUGCUGAACAAGAUUUCGUCUUUCAGAGAUGCGUGCUGGAGGUUUUUAAGGCCCCAUACUAUACGUGGAACGGCCCUAGGAUCAGCUGCUUUGGUGGGAAGAGCAUUAAUUGAGAACUCAAAUUUGAUCAAGUGGUCCCUGGUGCUGAAGGCAUUCUCCGGUCUUAUAGCUCUAAUAUGUGGAAAUGGUUAUAUAGUUGGCAUCAAUCAGAUCUAUGAUAUUGGCAUUGACAAGGUAAAUAAACCCUACUUACCCAUAGCUGCAGGGGAUCUCUCAGUUCAAUCAGCAUGGUUCUUGGUGAUAUUUUUUGCAGUGACUGGCCUUCUGAUUGUUGGAUACAACUUUGGCCCAUUUAUCACAUCGCUUUACUCACUUGGUCUUUUCCUGGGCACUAUCUAUUCAGUUCCUCCAUUUAGAAUGAAGAGAUUUCCUGUUGCAGCAUUUCUAAUAAUUGCCACGGUGAGGGGUUUCCUUCUCAAUUUUGGGGUGUACUAUGCUACAAGAGCUGCUCUUGGACUUCCAUUUCAGUGGAGUGCACCCGUGGCAUUUAUCACUACUUUUGUAACAUUGUUUGCACUUGUUAUUGCCAUAACCAAGGAUCUUCCAGAUGUAGAAGGAGAUCGCAAAUUUCAAAUAUCAACAUUAGCAACAAAGCUUGGAGUUAGAAAUAUUGCAUUUCUUGGUUCCGGACUUCUACUGGUGAAUUAUGUUGCUGCUGUGUUGGCUGCAAUAUACAUGCCUCAGAUUGUUUUGAUUUCUUUACAUCUAUCUUCAAGGGAGAUUAUCGAAAAUAGUAAAUUCUUCAAUUGCAUAUGUUACAGGCUUUCAGGCGUAGUUUAAUGAUACCUGCUCAUAUCUUUUUGGCGGUCUGCUUGAUUUUUCAGGCAUGGGUGUUGGAACAAGCAAAUUACAAAAAGGAAGCAAUCUCGGGGUUCUAUCGUUUCAUAUGGAAUCUCUUCUAUGCAGAGUAUACGAUUUUCCCCUUCGUGUAGAAUCCUAAUCUCCACCCUCCAUACUUUUUGUUUUGCAAAUUUUUAUUUUCACAGAGGGAGAGUAGUUACGUGAGUAUCUAUAUGAAUUCCCAUCUAAUAUUCAUUGCAUCUUUUAAUAACGCUACCUUGAAUUAGUUCUUAUGCAAAUAAAUAAAUAAAUUCAAUAGAAAACAAA